UCGAUCACGUAGAGUUUGAUCCUGGCUCAGAUUGAACGCUGGCGGCAUGCUUUACACAUGCAAGUCGAACGGAUUUGAGGAGCUUGCUCCUCAAGUUAGUGGCGAACGGGUGAGUAAUGCAUCGGAACGUACCGUGUAAUGGGGGAUAACCUACCGAAAGGUGGACUAAUACCGCAUACGCCCUGAGGGGGAAAGAGGGGGAUCGCAAGACCUCUUGUUAUACGAGCGGCCGAUGUCGGAUUAGCUAGUUGGUGAGGUAAGAGCUCACCAAGGCGACGAUCCGUAGCGGGUCUGAGAGGACGACCCGCCACACUGGGACUGAGACACGGCCCAGACUCCUACGGGAGGCAGCAGUGGGGAAUCUUGGACAAUGGGCGCAAGCCUGAUCCAGCAAUGCCGCGUGGGUGAAGAAGGCCUUCGGGUUGUAAAGCCCUUUUGUCAGGGAGCAAAUCCUUGGAACUAAUAUUUCCUGGGGAUGAGAGUACCUGAAGAAUAAGGACCGGCUAACUACGUGCCAGCCGCCGCGGUAAU
rnacentral:rRNA from 1 species